GACGAACGCUGGCGGCGUGCCUAAUACAUGCAAGUCGAACGCAGUGGGGACGGGUGAGUAACACGUGGGUAACCUCCCAUCAGAGGGGAUAACACUUGGAAACAGGUGCUAAACCGAUAGUGAAGUAUCGAACCGCGGUGCCUUAUCUAGUUGGUGGGGUAAAGGCUCAACAAGGCCACGAUGCAUAGCCGACCUGAGAGGGUGAUCGGCCACACUGGGACUGAGACACGGCCCAGACUCCUACGGGAGGCAGCAGUGGGGAAUCUUCUGCAAUGGACGAAAGUCUGACCGAGCAAUGCCGCGUGAGUGAAGAAGGUUUUCGGAUCGUAAAACUCUGUUGUUAGAGAAGCGGUAUCUAACCAGAAAGCCACGGCUAACUACGUGCCAGCAGCCGCGGUAAUUC
rnacentral:rRNA from 1 species